CGGACGUGUUCUGGAGCCAAUCCAGGGAGGCUGUUCGUCUGUAAACUAACCCACAGAAGUGAACAGAGAGGGGAAAAAAAAAAAAAAUCUACAACGAAACAAAAAAACUUUUCUGUCAGAUCUGCUCCAAGAAGAGGUUCACAGAAGGAUCAGACAAGAGCCAGUGCCAGCGCAGUGCAGAAGGUGGAAACACAGAGCCAGUGCCAAUAGAGGAGAGGACAAGGCAGCCCAAACUUAGAUCAACUCCAGCUGUGAUGGACCCAGAGCCGGAGUCAGCCUGAGCACUUAGAAGCUUUCGAAAACCUCUGCAUUUUUUCUAAAAACACUGACAUAGGAUGAAUUGAAACCAUCUCAAUUCACCCAAAAUCUUAGCUCUCCUGUGGAAAGACAGAUAAAAGAUUAAAUCCUUAGAGAACAAAGAGAAAUCCAAAGAAAUUCCUCCAUCCUAAACUGUCACCGGGAUUAUAAAUCAACUAAUUACAAUGCAAGAAUAUGAACUGGGCUGCUUAUAGGACAGUGUGCAAGUUUAAAACUGCUCUACACUGAAGGGGAUUUAAUUUAUUCACACUGUCCUGGACUAGAACCUCAUUUCCCGCACAACUAUUAAAAGUACCUAGACGUACUAGCACCAUGAAAACCUUGAAAGGAUUCUGCACCCGCUUAAAUUCAGAACAAUCUUCCAACAAAAGG